rnacentral:rRNA from 1 species
UAACAAUAAACGACUCUCGGCAACGGAUAUCUCGGCUCUCGCAUCGAUGAAGAACGUAGCGAACUGCGAUACUUGGUGUGAAUUGCAGAAUCCCGUGAACCAUCGAGUCUUUGAACGCAAGUUGCGCCCGAAGCCAUCAGGCCAAGGGCACGUCUGCC